AACUUUUAACAGUGGAUCUCUUGGCUUGUGCAUCGAUGAAGAAUGCAGCCGGCUGCGAUACGUAGUGUGAAUUGCAGAAUUCAGUGAAUCAUCGAAUCUUUGAACGCAAAUGGUGAAUCAUUGAAUCUUUGAACGCAAAUCUUUGAACGCUU